CCAAAUAAAAUAAACCAAACUCAUGUCACAUGUUUUGCAUUACAUCGUGGCAUACAUAUUCUUUUGCUUGUAUGGUGUGUUUAUGUAUGUGUAUGUUUGCUUGAUUGUAUAGUUUUCUCGGAGAGCGAACUGUGUGACUGUGAAGAGUGUCUGAAUACCAACUACUAUCAAGGCAAGUUUACUUUGACCAUCAUCCCAUUAUUUUAUUAUGCACUAGAUUUUAUUAGUUGCAUUGUCAGGAUUAUUACUGUAUCUAUGCUAGCUAUGAUCUGUCCUAAUAGUAUAGGAUACCGUUGCCAGUUCCUCACCACCAAUCGCCAUCGUAGUAGUAAACUGCUAGGCUAUGAUAAUACACGAGGGCGGUAUUAUUACAAUGUGAUACUAUUGAAUUACAAUAUGAUUUUCCUAGUGUAUGUCAAAACAAAUAAUUCAAUGAACUGUCCUGGGUGGGCUGCUUUGAGUAUUCGGAUGUCGUGACGUUAGGUCCAUUUCUAUGGGGCCCGCUGAGUCGUCUCUCCGUGUGAUUCGGGAGUGUAACAUCCCAAAUUUUUCAAAUUCGAAUGUUCGCACCUAUACAUUUCUUAUGCAUAUCACCUUGAUCAUAUCUUAAAAUAUUAGUGUUUAUUAUGAUGCAUUAUUGAAAGUGUUUGAAAUGGUGUUUUGGAACUUGAUAGGUUGUUAGAAAUUGAUUCGAGAUUUUUCUAGAGUCUAAAAAUGCAUUUUAGGAUUUUAUUUGGAUUUAUUUAAAGCUUAGAAACAUUAAAACUAUUUUUACAAAUUUAUUUUUGAGUGAGAAUAAUUUUACUAGACUCUAAAUGAAAUGUAUUAUUUUACAGAAUUUUUGGGAUUUUUCUGAAGCCAUUUGAUAUUUUAAAUGAUUUAAAUGGAAUUUCGGGUGAAUUAUAGAUCCUGAAAAGUAUUUUUUUCAUCUUUUUUUUAUUCUUUUUCUCUGAAAAUACGCUUUCUCCAUAGGAAAACGUAUUCUCGGGGGAAUACGCUUUCAGUCUGCGGAAAACGUAUUCUCGGGAGAAUACGCUUUUAGUCUCUCUCUCUCUGACAGGUGGGGCCCACCUGUCAUCUUCUCCCUCAUCUCCGCCGUCUCCACCGUCGCCGGCGUCGCGCCCUGGCCGCUGCCCGCGCCCGGCCGCGCCCUCGCUCGCCUGCCCGCCUGCCCGCGCCGCCGCCGCCGCUCGCGCCGUCGCUGCUUGCCGC
rnacentral:lncRNA from 1 species